AGUCGUAACAAGGUUUCCGUAGGUGAACCUGCGCGAAGGAUCAUUACCGAGUGUUGCGGGCCCCUCUCCGGGGGGGUCCCACCUCCCAUCCUUGUCUAUCUCUACCCUGUUGCUUCGGCGGGCCCGCCUGCGUUCCCCGUUAAGAUCCUUAGCGGGGGCCAGGCCGCCGGGGGGCCCCGCGCCCCCGGGCCCGUGCCCGCCGGGGACUCCCACUUGGAACGCUGUCUGAAGGUUGCAGUCUGAGUCCUUUUUGGAAAAAUCGUUAAAACUUUCAACAACGGAUCUCUUGGUUCCGGCAUCGAUGAAGAACGCAGCGAAAUGCGAUAAGUAAUGUGAAUUGCAGAAUUCAGUGAAUCAUCGAGUCUUUGAACGCACAUUGCGCCCCCUGGUAUUCCGGGGGGCAUGCCUGUCCGAGCGUCAUUGCUGCCCUCAAGCACGGCUUGUGUGUUGGGCCGCCGUCCCGGGGGGACUUUUCUCCCCCGCGGGACGGGCCCGAAAGGCAGCGGCGGCACCGUGUCCGGUCCUCGAGCGUAUGGGGCUCUGUCACCCGCUCUGGUAGGCCCGGCCGGCGCGCCAGCCCUUCUCAACCAUUUUUGUUCUUUCUCCAGGUUGACCUCGGAUCAGGUAGGGAUACCCGCUGAACUUAAGCAUAUCAAU
rnacentral:rRNA from 1 species